rnacentral:rRNA from 1 species
CCUACGGGUAGCAGCAGUGAGGAAUAUUGGUCAAUGGACGCAAGUCUGAACCAGCCAUGCCGCGUGCAGGAAGACGGCUCUAUGAGUUGUAAACUGCUUUUUUACGAGAGUAAAGUCAGAUACGCGUAUCUUUCUGAAAGUAUCUUACGAAUAAGGAUCGGCUAACUCCGUGCCAGCAGCCGCGGUAAUACGGAGGAUUCAAGCGUUAUCCGGAUUUAUUGGGUUUAAAGGGUGCGUAGGCGGGUGGAUAAGUUAGGUGUGAAAUCCCGAGGCUCAACUGCGAAAUUGCAUUUGAUACUGGUAGGCUAGAGAGUAGUUGCGGUAGGCGGAAUGCAUGGUGUAGCGGUGAAAUGCUUAGAGAUCAUACAGAACACCGAUUGCGAAGGCAGCUUACCAAGCUACUUCUGACGUUGAGGCACGAAAGCGUGGGGAGCAAACAGGAUUAGAUACCCGUGUAGUC